UGGAAAUGUUUCCAUAGUGUGGAUCUAGGUUUCAACUCAUCUAUCAUCUGAGAAUGAAGCUUGUUUAUAGCAAUUAUAAUUUUAGAUUAGUGCCGAAGUAAUUCUUCCUUAAAUUUUAAUCUGUACUGUAAUCACUAAAUGUGUUUCCUAAAAAAAUAUGUUGCAUAUAACUUUUAAGUACCUCCACUGAAUAGUUGAAGGUUAAAAAAAUCGACAAUGGGUCGAAACCAUUUAUUAACAACCAAACUUAUAUUAAAUUAACCACAUAACUUAAAGGUACACAAAGUAGUUUUAUUUGGAAAAUUAUAUUAUAUAUAAAUAUUUGGGAAUCACAUUUAUAGUCAUUUAGUGUGGGUUGAAAUAUAAGGAUGAAUUUGAUUCGGAACAGUUCUACCAUUUAGUAUAACUCAUCUCAUCUCGAUAUUUCUUUGCUCUGUCAAUUUGUUGACACUGUGGAUUCAAACGAAUAGAAUUAUACCAAAAAAUAUAACUGAACCACAAC